rnacentral:rRNA from 1 species
AGAGUUUGAUCCUGGCUCAGAUUGAACGCUGGCGGCAUGCCUUACACAUGCAAGUCGAACGGCAGCGCGGGGGGUAACUCCUGGCGGCGAGUGGCGAACGGGUGAGUAAUAUAUCGGAACGUGCCCUGGAGUGGGGGAUAACUAGUCGAAAGAUUAGCUAAUACCGCAUACGAUCUACGGAUGAAAGUGGGGGAUUCGCAAGAACCUCAUGCUCGUGGAGCGGCCGAUAUCUGAUUAGCUAGUUGGUAGGGUAAAAGCCUACCAAGGCGACGAUCAGUAGCUGGUUUGAGAGAACGACCAGCCACACUGGGACUGAGACACGGCCCAGACUCCUACGGGAGGCAGCAGUGGGGAAUUUUGGACAAUGGGGGCAACCCUGAUCCAGCAAUGCCGCGUGUGUGAAGAAGGCCUU